rnacentral:lncRNA from 10 species
UCUCGAAAAGGCACUCUGUCACGUGUACACAGGAAAGGGCCCUGACAAGAGGAUGGGACUGCAGUUGUGGCUGCCAGGAACAGGGCCCCGGCCAGGGUGAAAACAAGGAACAUUCCAGAGAAGAUCACAAGGAUGCGAAUAAAAUCGGAGCUGCACAGGGAUCUUUGGGCUGUAAUAGGAGGGGACACACAGGGGUUAGGGGAGGGUCUAGCCCUUGGCUCCCUCAGCCCAGCCCUCCUGUCACCUUGCCUCUCCCCUUUCCCCCACCUUAUUCUAUCCCACCCGCCACCGUUGGCCAACUCCUCUCCUAAACAGUGGACUCUGCUUUUUCCCCUCCUCUUAUCCCUAAUCCUAGGAGCUUUCUGUCUGGCUUCCCUCCUGGCCCCUCGUGUAUGCAUUCUCUCUAGCGGUGGGGAUUAAGGAGAAAACUCACGUGGCCAGUGGGUAGAGAGAGUCCGGGCAGGCAGCUGCCUGAAGUCAGCCAGAGUCUGCAUGUGCCCAGCUGUCCUGGCCUCCAGCAUCUCUGGAAAAACAGAGACAGAAUGAGUAGCAGCAGGGGACCCCAUAGGGCACAUCUGAAGGCCUGAGAGGUGCUGGAUGGGAUGGGAAGGCAGAAACAGGCUGACCUUAUCUAGGGGUAGGAGUGGGGAGUACUGGUUGGGGUAUCACCGCUACCCCACGUGAUGGCACAGAGAGUUGCCUGGAACUUACCACUGACAUAAGGUAAGUGGGUGGGCUGAGGGUGUGGGCUCAGGGCCUGAGACGACCGAGCGGUCAGCGAAGGGUUUGGAAGAGGAUCACACUCGGUGCACUCCUUGUCCCUGCACUGCCAGCCAUUGCGACAGGCACACUCAGCAUUGGCAGUGAUGGUGCAGUUGCGAACGAGAAGACCUGGGGGAAGAGAGGCCCAGGGAGCAUAGGACACUCAGACCUGUGGAGACCUUCAAGGUCCACUUGCUUCAUCCCCCAACCCCCAUCCCAGGCCCACCUCUAGGGACGUGCUUCCCUUUCCAUUCCCACCCCUGCAAAGGCCUGCCCUUUGCUCACGGUCCCCCAAUGCCUUUGCCAUUAUUAUUGUUAUUAAAGAAGAAAGUUGGACCUUUCAGAAGGAAGAUUCAUGGGUUCAGACAUAGAAACCAUGAAAAGUAGAAAGAGCUUAUAUGACUUUCUCUUGUACUCCCUGAUACAUUUUUUAUUUUUUAUUUAUUUUUUUGAGAUGGAGUCUCGCUCUUGUUGCCGAGGCUGGAGUGCAAUGGCGUGACCUUGGCUCGUUGCAACCUCUGCCUCCCGGGUUCAAGCAAUUCUCCUGCCUCAGCCUCCCAAGUAGCUGGGAUUACAGGUGUGUGCCACCACACCCGGCUAAUUUUUUGUAUUUUUAGUAGAGACGGGGUUUUACUGUAUUGGCCAGGCUGGUAUUAAACUCCUGACCUCAGGUGAUGCACCAGCCUCAGCCUCCCAAAGUGUUGGGAUUACAGGCGUGAGCCACUGUGCUCGGCCCCAAUACUUUAAUAACUUUUAAUUAAAGUAUAAUAUACGUACAGAGAGGCACGCAUGAUUGUAAAGCUUAAGAAUUUGUACAAAUUUGGCUCACAGGCAUAACCAGCAGCAGAUCAACAAAUAUAAAAUAGCCGGGUGAGGCAGGGAAUUGCUUGAACCCGGGAGGUGGAAGUUGCAGUGAGCCGAGAUCACGCCACUGCACUCCAGCCUGGGCAACAGAGUGAAACUCCGUCUCAAAAAAAAAAAAAAAAGAAAAGAAAGAAAGAAAAUAGCCAGGUGCAGUGGCUUACGCCUGUAAUCCCAGCACUUUGGGAGGUUGAGGUGGGUGGAUUGCUUGAGCUCAGGAGUUUGAGACCAGCCUGGCCAACAUGGUGAAACCCCGUCUCUACAAAAAAUACAAAAAUUAGCUGGGUGUGGUGGUGCACACCUGUAGGCCCAAGCUACUGGGGAGGCUGAGGUGGGAGGAUCGCUUGAGCCCGGGAGGUGGAGGUUACAGUGAGCUGAGAUCAUGAUACUGCGCUCCAGCCUGGGUGACAGAGUGAGAUCCUGUCUCAAACACCACCAACAAAAAACAAAACAAAGUAUAUUAGGGAUUCCCAGGGGCUGGGGCUGGGGCUGGGGUUGGUUGGGGGGAAGAAAUGGGGAGUCAUUGCUAAGGGGUACAAGUUUCUCUGGGGUAACGAAAAUGUUAUAGAAUUAGAUAGUGUUGAUGGCUGCACAACCUGUGGAUACACUAAAAUAAAUAAAUAAUAAAUAGUUACUUGAUUACAGUUACUUAGCCUUUAUUUUGUUUGUUUGUUUUUUGACAGAGUCUUGCUUUGUCGCCCAGGUUGGAGUGCAGUGGCACGAUCUCGGCUCAGUGCAACCUCCGCCUCCUGAGUUCAAGUGAUUCUCCUGCCUCAGCCUCCCUAGUAGCUGGGAUUACAGGACAAGGAGAGGGACAAAUUCCUUCUUGGCAUCCUUAUGGCCCUGUGACCUGCUAAUGAAUGCUGACUCUGAGUUGCUACUAGAAUUUGGUUUCCUUGUGGCUUCCCAGGAAUUGUGAGCCAUGUUGGAUAAGGACCUGCAAGGGAAGAAUGAGGAAGCCUGGGACAGUGCAGGAGGGGAGAGCACUGGUGGUAGAGAGGAGUGAUGACAAGGGUCUCCGCCAAAAGGGAAAUGGAGGGGUUAAAGAAGCUGCUGGGGAGGGUUAAAAACAAUGUGUUCUCACUCGUAGGUGGGAAUUGAACAAUGAGAACACUUGGACACAGGAAGGGGAACAUCACACACUGGGGCCUGUCGUGGGGUGUGGGGAGGGAGGAGGGAUAGCAUUAGGAGAUAUACCUAAUGUAAAUGAUGAGUUAAUGGGUGCAGCACACCAACAUGGCACAUGUAUACCUAUGUAACAAACCUGCACAUUGUGUACAUGUACCCUAGAACUUAAAGUAUAAUUAAAAAACAAAACAAAACAAAACAAAAACAAUGAGGUGCUAUUGUUUUAGUGGUGAGUAUCCGGAGACCUGGGAGUUCUAUUUACCAGGUAUAACCUGGGCUCAAAAUUCCAGGCUGACUUCAGGCAUGUCCUCAUCUCAUAGAUGCCAGCACUAAGGCCCAGAGAGGGCCGAGCUCAUUCAGCCCACCCAUCUUCUCACCCCUGACUGCAUUUCCCGGGGGUCCUUCUGCAGCCAGGUGCUGCUGUGGUACUUUGGGAUCUAUUGGCUGAGCUCCCAGAGAAGGGUCAUGGAUUGGGCUAGUUUGGAACAAGUGAAGGGACUGAAGAUGGGCUCAGUAUGGGGCGAAGACCUUCAGGAAGGGUCUGCAGAGUGAGUAGGGGGGUUUUGACUAGGAAAAGUUCCAACCCUGCCGGGGCCGCUGUCAAGAGAAAAGCAUCUAUUACAGUUACAUUUUUAAGUUAAGUAGACUGAAGAAUAUUUCUUGUGUAUUAAAGACGUUCCUUUUUGGUUGAUUUGCAAUGGAAAAGCUUUUGUUUUCUUUUUUUUUUUGGAAACAGGGUCUCACUCUGCUCACUCUGUCUCCCAAGCUGGAGUGCAGUGGUACAGUCACGGCUCACUGCAGCCUCCACUUCCUGGACUCAAGUGAUCUUCUCACUUCAGCCUUCUGAGUAGCUGGGACUACAGCCCCCUCUGCAGCUCUUCAUGGGGGUCCACUCAAGUCAGAAGCCACAUUUGGGUGUGAUUCAGAGAGCUGUUUAUGCAAAACCAGCUUUGUCACCAUCAGGCAAGGCACCUGAAUUCCCACCGCAGAGAGUGUUGUGGCCGUGAGGACUUUUCUGUCACCAGCCAUUUCCAGGUAGACCCAGUGUAAUCACAAGCAUCCUUGUAAGUGGCAAAGAGGCAGAGGAGACAGCGCCAGAGAGGCAGCUGCAUGAGAAGGAUCAAGAUGUUGCUGACUUUGAAGUUGGAAGAAGAAGGCCAUGAGCCUCAGUAUGUGGGCGGCUUCUAGAAGCUGGAAGGGGCAAGGAGAUGGAUUUGACCCUUCAGCCUCCAGGGGCAGCUGUACCUGCCAUCACUGAUUGUAGCCUGGUGAGGCCUGUUUUAGACUUCUGACCUGUAGAGCUGUAACAUAAUACAUUUGGGUUGUUUUCAACCACUAAGUUUGUGGUAAUUUGUUGUAGCAGCUGUAGAAAAUGAAUACAUAUGAAUCCUCUGGCAUUUGUUUGAGAUUUGCUCUAUGGCCUAGUAUGUGGUUGUAAAUGUUCCAUCUGUGCCUGAAAAAAUGUAUAUUUCUAAUUCAGUAGUCUCUGCUUUUUUUUUUUAUUUUGUACCCCAUCAAUAAAAUGAUUUUCAGCAUGUAUCCCCAAAUAAACAAUAUUUUAUUUAUUGAUUGAUUGAUAAACAGACAUGUUUAAUGAUAGCUUGCUUUUCACAGAGGUGACUUCGGAGACUUCUAAUCUAUAAUCCAGGAGUAUAUAACCAUG